rnacentral:lncRNA from 1 species
AGCAAUGAUGUCGUUGGAUUAGGCGCUGGUUUUAUAGGGAUGCCGCUUAUGUACAUCAUUUGUUGUGGAGGGCGCACCGUGGAGGAAGAUGGCGCUUAUGUGCUUCAGAUGAAAUGCAUUCAACAUACAUGGUGAAAGAGAGCUGCCCCAGGCCCUCACUACUGAACCACCAUGCCCACUAUAAGGAGAUGGAGAUCUUCGUCCCAGGGGUAAUCGAUUUAAACUUUACUAAUAUUAGUCUUAGUCACCUACAUUACCAUGAUCUAGUAUACUGACAGUGAUUCGCCAACCAUAUACAGUCAUUAAACUGCACGCAAUUCCUGUCUUAAAACUAUUUGGCCAAAUAAUGGCUGCAUUAUCUGCUUGGCCAUCACUUUAAAAUAUGAGCUGCCACAUUUCUCCUUCCCCUCACACAAUGCAAUAAAUCUGUGUAUGGCAAUCUCAUGCCCUGUGUUUAAAUCGGUUGAGUAAAAAAUGGUACCCUGAUGCAUGCACUUGCCAGAGAGGUGCAUUCAGUACUUCCCUACUUGAGGUGAUCAGAUAUACUAAAUUAAAAUGCAAUGGUCACAUCACAGAUUAUAAAUUGUUUUCUUAAUUUACGCACACUCUACACCCGCUUCCCAAAUCGGCUUUACCACAUCACCAUAUAUCCAACCUUUAUGCGAAACAGGCAACUUACAAUUGGAGUGAUAGUUCAGUAAGAAAGAACAUUUGGCACAAAGGAAGAUUAAUUUUGAAAGGAAAAGGACUUGUAGUGAACAUAGAAAAAAUUGAUGCUCGAGUGACUACUAAUAUCAUCUAAAAUAUGCAAGAUAAAAUAAGAGGUCAAGCCAAUCAAGUGAAAGACGUUUGAACUGGAAUUAGACACAUUGUACAUCAUCAAUCAUUAGGAGUUGGACCCCAUAGGAGUGAAAGACGUUUGUCUCCUGGUCUGCAAGCCAAAAAAAUGUAGGAAGACUAUCAGCCCAUAUGCAGCAAGAACACCAUGGUAACAGUAGUAGAUGAUUGAGCGCAUUGUAAAUAAUGGGGUGACCUCACCUCAAGUAGAUCACAUUAGAAUAGAAACAACAUAGGGAGUGGCGGUGGCACUUGUCGACCUUUACGCUGAAACGGGAAGUAUCUGAUCUCAAGUCGAAACACAGUAGCAUCAACAGAUGCAAUGGGCCUAUCCUCUGUGAAACCAAAUGGAAUUUGCUGCAACAUUAUUAAACUAAGUAUUGGUACCAUGCAAGUUAGAGUAGUCUAAAGAAUUUAUUUGCAUAUCAAACGGCAAACAUGCAAUGCAAAAUUUAUUUGCAUCUCAAGGAUUCUCAUAUUUAAAUGCAAAUGUAUAUUGUCACCCCAUAGAUUACAUAGUACAACUUGACAGCAAAAAUGAAAUUACAUAGGCACAAUAUUAAUUGUCUAGGUUACAUAAACUUGGACCUUGCUAGUCGAAAGGAUGGUACGGAAUAUAUAGUGAAACUCGAAGUGGCAUGCAAUAUAUAACCGCAGUGGAGGUAAAUUGCCUAGAUGAUCAUCCAUACUCGCUACUCAGAGACAGUGGAUGAUAAGGUAAAGCUGUCUUUCAGUGUUGAAGACAGAAACAUAUGCCUACAAUGUAGAAAAAAUAUGGCAAGUUUGUUUUUUGAAGGAAAGCCUCAUGGCACUUUAUUUAGAUUGUGGCAGUGUUACAUCGUCGAGUACAUGAGAAAGUAAAAAACUGGGAGCAACAUCUGCCCAAACAAAACUUGAGUUAACAUCAUAAGAGUACCUAGCCAGAAAAUGUGCCAAUCCAUUAGCUUCACUUGGACAAUGCUUGAAACAAAUUCCAGGAAUUUCAUGAGCAAUAUGAAAACAGUCCGCAAGUAUUGCUACAUUGGGACCCAAAAUCUCAAUUUUUCCACUACGUGCUUCAAUCAGUUCUAG